rnacentral:lncRNA from 1 species
CUGGCAACACCACUGCAAGGGCAUGUGUAUGUGCGUGCACCGCCUCACACCAUUGCAGUCUGUGCACAGAGAUAAUUUUUUCCCCCUUCAGGGUCGCAAAGAGCAACUGUACAAAAGACUUUUUUUUAAUAGAAUAUGUUCUUAUCUUUCGUAAAACAUGGACCCACCCGACACUUGGACUGGUCUGUGAGCCCCACCCUUGCCCUUUUGUUUGGAGCCUGGGAUCAUAUGAUGAACUGGGCUAGACAAUGGACUACUAAAUCAAUACAGUCAGACUCAGUUCCAGACACCUGGGGGCUGAUGGAGGGCCUCUGUGGAGCCAGCUGUCACAGAGGAAGACCUGGGAGGAGCCUUGCCUUCAGAGAUAUAACCCCGUCUGUCACAGAGGACAAAUCAACCAACCCUACCAUCCUGAUGGAGAAGGGGUUUGUGCUUUGCCUCAGAAAACAGAGGAAGGCAAUGAGGCCCCUCAAAUGGUCCUGUUUUCUGCAAACAAGACAAAACAAGGAAAUGAGCUAUCAUCCCUGCCUUUCAGUGCAGCACGUCCGCUGUCCUCUUGACAGGAUAUUUAUUGAGCAAAAAAAGUAACUUAUUUCACAGAAUGAAGGAUUAUCAAUGUCAUGUGCAUGCAAAGACAAACUUGUCCUCUGAAAUGUCACCUGG